GGAUUAGAUACCCUGGUAGUCCACGCCGUAAACGAUGUGUGCUAGCCGUUUGUGAUUUAUCGCAAGUGGUGCAGCUAACGCGUUAAGCACACCGCCUGGGGAGUACGAUCGCAAGAUUAAAACUCAAAGGAAUUGACGGGGGCCCGCACAAGCGGUGGAGCAUGUGGUUUAAUUCGACGCAACGCGAAGAACCUUACCAGGUCUUGACAUCCUGAUUAUGGUCGUUAGAAAUAACUUCCUUCAGUUCGGCUGGAUCAGUGACAGGUGCUGCAUGGCUGUCGUCAGCUCGUGCCG
rnacentral:rRNA from 1 species